rnacentral:misc_RNA from 1 species
GAUGAAGAACGUAGCGAAAUGCGAUAAGUAAUGUGAAUUGCAGAAUUCAGUGAAUCAUCGAAUCUUUGAACGCACAUUGCGCCCGCCAGUAUUCUGGCGGGCAUGCCUGUUCGAGCGUCAUUUCAACCAUCAAGCCCCCGGCUUGUGUUGGGGACCUGCGGCUGCCGCAGGCCCUGAAAAGCAGUGGCGGGCUCGCUGUCACACCGAGCGUAGUAGCAUACAUCUCGCUCUGGGCGUGCUGCGGGUUCCGGCCGUUAAACCCCCUACUUCUCAAGGUUGACCUCGGAUCAGGUAGGAAUACCCGCUGAACUUAAGCAUAUCAAUAAGCGGAGGA